GGUGUUAUAGUAUAGUGGUUAGUACGACACGUUGUGGAGGCGUGUUCCAAUACAUGCACUGCAGCGCCGUGUAGACCCAGGUUCGAUUCCUGGUAACGCCA
rnacentral:tRNA from 1 species